GCUAACUCCAUUCGCACUUUUAAUCCGGGAAUUUUCGAGCGUCCACUGGAGCAUCUUCUGGAUGCUUAUCUAUGGCAGAAAGGUCCAUCAGAGAUGUCCAUCCAGUCGUCGCCACCGGCUCUGCACGAUUAUUCUUGAUUUCAUCCUUCGCCAAGUUUGUAGCCGAGGACCACGUCCUCUUAUUUUCGGAACCACUUCAAAAUUUAUAUUUGUGAUAAAUUUUUAAUAUAAUAUUCUAUAAUAAAAUUAAGUAAAAAGUUUCGAAUGUGCGUUUAUGAGACGACAAGUUAAAACAAUUAUCGAGCAUAACAGCAGUAUUACAAUUUAUAUUCAAAAAUGCAAUAAAGAAAUUUUGCAAACAGUAAUACAUGAACUCAAACAU